CCUACGGGGGGCAGCAGUGGGGAAUAUUGCGCAAUGGACGAAAGUCUGACGCAGCGACGCCGCGUGAGGGAUGAAGGUUUUCGGAUCGUAAACCUCUGUCAGGAGGGAAGAAAGCGCAUGGCGCCAAUCAGCCAUGCGUUGACGGUACCUCCAAAGGAAGCGCCGGCUAACUCCGUGCCAGCAGCCGCGGUAAUACGGAGGGCGCGAGCGUGAAUCGGAAUUAUUGGGCGUAAAGCGAGCGUAGGCGGUUGUGUAAGUUGGGGGUGAAAUCCCACGGCUCAACCGUGGAACAGCACUUGAUACUGGGCGACUUGAGUCCGGUAGAGGGUGGCGGAAUUCGAGGUGUAGGAGUGAAAGCCGUAGAUAUCAGGAGGAACAUCAGUGGCGAAGGCAGCCACCUGGACCGGUAUUGACGCUGAGGCGCGAAAGCGUGGGGAGCAAACAGGAUUAGAUACCCCUGUAGUC
rnacentral:rRNA from 1 species